rnacentral:rRNA from 1 species
UGGGGAAUUUUUUUCCAUGGGCGAUAGCCUGACGGAGCAAGACCGCGUGAGGGAGGAAGGCUCUUGGGUUGUAAACCUCUUUUCUGAGGGAAGAAAAAAAUGACGGUACCUCAGGAAGAAGCAUCGGCUAACUCCGUGCCAGCAGCCGCGGUAAUACGGAGGAUGCAAGCGUUAUCCGGACUUAUUGGGCGUAAAGCGUCCGCAGGUGGCAUCUCGUGUCUGCUGUCAAAGCCCACAGCUCAACUGUGGUCAGGCGGUGGAAACUGAGAAGCUAGAGUUAGGUAGGGGUAGAGGGAAUUCCCAGUGUAGCGGUGAAAUGCGUAGAGAUUGGGAAGAGACGUACCAGUGGCGAAAGCGCUCUGCUAGGCCAUAACUGACACUAAGGGACGAAAGCUAGAGGAGCAAAAGGGAUUAAACCCCCCCUGUAGUCC